rnacentral:rRNA from 1 species
CACGGGGGGAGCAAGCGUUGUUCGGAAUCACUGGGCGUAAAGGGAGUCUAGGCGGACAGGUAAGUGGAAUGUGAAAUCCCUCGGCUCACCCGAGGACCUGCAUCCCAAACUGCCUGGCUUGAGUAUGGGAGAGGAUGAGGGAAUUCCUGGUGUAGCGGUGAAAUGCGUAGAUAUCAGGAGGAACACCGGUGGCGAAGGCGCUCAUCUGGCCCAAUACUGACGCUGAAGCUCGAAAGCUAGGGGAGCAAACGGG